AAUCAACGCUGGCGGCGUGCCUAACACAUGCAAGUCGAACGCGAAAGUCCCGCAAGGGAUGAGUAGAGUGGCAAACGGGUGAGUAACACGUGGGUGACCUGCCUUCGAGCGGGGGAUAACGUCCCGAAAGGGACGCUAAUACCGCAUGACAUCCUGCCUUUGAAGAGGUGGAGAUCAAAGCUGGGGAUCGCAAGACCUAGCACUUGAAGAGGGGCCCGCGUCUGAUUAGCUAGUUGGUGGGGUAACGGCUCACCAAGGCAACGAUCAGUAUCCGGCCUGAGAGGGCGGACGGACACACUGGGACUGAGACACGGGCCCAGACUCCUACGGGGAGGCAGCAGUGGGGAAUUGUUCGCAAUGGGCGCAAGCCUGACGACGCAACGCCG
rnacentral:rRNA from 1 species